rnacentral:rRNA from 1 species
GACGAACCGCCCGAGCGUUGUUCGGAAUCACUGGGCUUAAAGGGCGCGUAGGCGGGCGAGCAAGUCAGGGGUGAAAGCCCCCAGCUUAACUGGGGAAGUGCCUUUGAUACUGCUGGUCUUGAGGGAGAUAGGGGCGUGCGGAACUUCCGGUGGAGCGGUGAAAUGCGUAGAUAUCGGAAAGAACACCAACGGCGAAAGCACUCUGCUGGGCCGACACUGACACUGAGAGACGAAAGCUAGGGGAGCGAAUGGG